UUACCUACGGGGGGCAGCAGUGAGGAAUAUUGGUCAAUGGGCGGGAGCCUGAACCAGCCAAGUCGCGUGAAGGAAGAAGGUACUUAGUAUUGUAAACUUCUUUUGUCGGGGAACAAAGGCGGAGACGCGUCUCCGGAUGAGUGUACCCGAAGAAAAAGCAUCGGCUAACUCCGUGCCAGCAGCCGCGGUAAUACGGAGGAUGCGAGCGUUAUCCGGAUUUAUUGGGUUUAAAGGGUGCGUAGGCGGAUUUUUAAGUCAGCGGUAAAAUGUCCGGGCUCAACCCGGGCCGGCCGUUGAAACUGGGG
rnacentral:rRNA from 1 species